rnacentral:tRNA from 1 species
GGCUCUGUGGCGCAACGGAGAGCGUGUUGGACUUCUAAGUGUUGAGAUAUUUAAGUCAUUCAAAGGUUGUGGGUUCGAGUCCCACCAGAGUUG